rnacentral:rRNA from 1 species
UUGAACGCUGGCGGCAGGCCUCACACAUGCAAGUCGAGCGGAUGAAGGGAGCUUGCUCCUGGAUUCAGCGGCGGACGGGUGAGUAAUGCCUAGGAAUCUGCCUGGUAGUGGGGGAUAACGUCCGGAAACGGGCGCUAAUACCGCAUACGUCCUGAGGGAGAAAGUGGGGGAUCUUCGGACCUCACGCUAUCAGAUGAGCCUAGGUCGGAUUAGCUAGUUGGUGGGGUAAAGGCCUACCAAGGCGACGAUCUGUAACUGGUCUGAGAGGAUGAUCAGUCACACUGGAACUGAGACACGGUCCAGACUCCUACGGGAGGCAGCAGUGGGGAAUAUUGGACAAUGGGCGAAAGCCUGAUCCAGCCAUGCCGCGUGUGUGAAGAAGGUCUUCGGAUUGUAAAGCACUUUAAGUUGGGAGGAAGGGCAGUAAGUUAAUACCUUGCUGUUUUGACGUUACCAACAGAAUAAGCACCGGCUAACUUCGUG